ACACAUGACAGCCAUCCCGUGCCGGUUUUCGCUGCACCCCUACAAAGUUGGCCACCUGGCUGGUGCAAGCUCCAGUGGUAAGGUGUUUCUCUGGACCAGAGUUUAAAGGCUCCGGUGAUAAGGUGUUUCCCUGGACCAGAGCAUGAAGCAACAAGAUCUUCACCGACUCACCUGUGAAAUCCUGCUAUGCCCAAGUUCCUAACCGGGAAGAUCCUCAUCUCGUGGUUGAGUACAACACCUGGUGCUUGCUUAGCAUCAUACUGCUAUCAAAAUGUAUAAUAGUUAGCACCGGAGAACCAUUUGGUAUUGUAAUAUAUGCGAUGGAACUGAUGCCUUAUCUAAUUAUUACACCCACCCAUUUAUCACCAUCUGUGCUGCUUGAAUGCGUUUGAACAAGGAUGCGUUUAUUUGAACAAGGAUGUUUAUUUCUGAUUUUUCUUUAAUUUUUUCCUGCAUUUUUGAAGUAUUUUUUGCUCCAAAGGGGAAUUUAGCCUCUUGGUUCCCAAACCCAGAUGGGGAAAUUGAUUUGCCACUAAAAUCCCCCUGGUGGCUUUUCUCCCUGUGGUUUAACUCCCCUUGCUGCCAAAUCAAACCUAAUUGAUGCAUAUAUAUAAUCUAUUAACCUCACUCUUAACUAGAUGUACUGAAUCUUUACAUGCCUCUCUAUCAAGGACAGGAACGUACGUACCUGCAAGGGCAACGACAGACAGCAACUCCGGCUCAUCGAUCCCUCAGAGAAGAAGGCAUGUGGCCAUCAACUACCAGGAGCAGGAAGGCGUACGUGUGUACAGUUCUGAUGUUGCUAGCCUUCUAAGGUUCCCUCAAUUACCUCAUGUGCUACUGCAACUCAGCAAUCAUUGUACCCUUCUCCAACCUUGCAACCAGAUAGAUUCUCUGCCGAAUGCUGCCGCUCAUCAUCCAAGCUUUUCAGAUCUACUGCACCUAUCACACAGGGAACUUUAUUUUCAGUUC
rnacentral:lncRNA from 1 species